UGCGGAGGUUUUCCUCGGUAGUUAACUGCAGCCAGUUUCAUUUUUCUCGGCACUUAACUACCGAGGAGCAU
rfam:Medicago truncatula strain A17 chromosome 4, whole genome shotgun sequence.